ACUCUGUCUUACAUGAGCUCUUCCACAGCAUCCCAAAACUCAACACUGCUAGUACGUGUCCUACUUGCUUCCAGGGAGUUAGAUCAUCCAUAAUUUUGGACCAUUAUAUCUACAAAGUGAAAUUGUUUUCCAAGGACUUUUAUCAGCAAGCUGGGAACAAGCACAAAAUGUCUCUCUUCUCAUUCCGUAUUAUCUGGACAGGAGUCGGUUGAGAAAGAACAGAGAAAAGAGCUUUCUGCACCCUCUUUGCGAAUGUUACAACAAAAGUUUCUCCUCUGAUGUUUUAGGAGUAUUUCGUCAUCCUGUUCCCAUGUUACCUUUUCAUUUGAUCUUUGAACUGUAGUAUCCAGGAACAUCUCAGAUAGCCCAGCGUUUCUUCAUCCACUGUGCAAAUGCAGAACAAAGGAAUUCAGAGGCACUAGGAUAACGUAACCUGACACAAAUUAUACUACCAGUAACCAAGACAGUGGUCAGGAGGACUCAAGUCCAGCUGCCUUGACGAUUAUUCUCUAGAGUGGGAGAAGCAAAACGACAGUAUUUCCCCAGAUUUCCAUAAUACAAGGGGAGCUGCAACCGUAUUUUCCAUUUUGAACAGCUUCUUUAAGUUUCUGCUGUUGUUAACCAAUCCACAGACUGGAGAGAGAGUAGCCCAGUAUGGAGACCCUGUCAUCAACAGGUUGCUUGCUCACUGAAAUAGUCCUCUAAGUACUCUGCCGAGUUAUUGCAAGGCCUGCCUUUGAGCAUCUUACGGGGAAAAGUCCUUAAUGGGGACCUGAUGGAACUACUUGUGUGACUGAGGACCACCACGCACAAAGGAGAGAAGGCCAAAGGACAACGUAACAAACAGCACUUCGUGAAACACAGAAGGAGAGGUUUGGCCACUGGGCUGCUCAUACGAGAGCAGGCUGGCUGCCGCUGUGUCUGCAAGGCCUUCCAUCUCCGUGCAGCAGCCACAGCACACAGGAGUCCCCCAAAGAAGAAUAUUCAGCUCCUGGUGGCAGUUUAUGACUGACAGCCCAGAUCAACGUACUGAGCCAGAAAGAGUUAAGAAUAGCUCAGACAAAACAAAACCGCAUGUAUAAAUCACCCUUCAUCUAGAUUUCAGGUUUUUUUCCUUUUUCAUUACACUUUGAAACUGUGACCAAGUACAGAUAUAACCACAGGAAUAGGUCUUAUAGGAGUCAAAGCAAUAAAAAAUUGUUACUUUUCAUGUUGCAAACCUAAGUGGCACAGCCAUAACUCAAUACCAAGACAUGUACAGGGGCUGAAUAACCUACUACUGUAUUAUUAUUCACCCUUUCCCAGGACUGCUUGUAACUAAAAGCAAUCUAACUACAUAAGCACCUAUGAUUCCCUUGCACUGCCUUAGAUCUCAGAUUGCUGAUUACACUAGCAGCUCCAUGAUCAUGACUGUGAUAUGUUAGUUUGACAAAUUAUUUGGUAAGUGACAGUAUUUAAGGCAUGUCUACAUAGAAACAUAUUUUUACAGCUUUUGCUGGGAACUCAGAAAACCAAUGCUAUAAAAAUCACUUCAAAAUCACUUCAAAGACACUUAAGAAUCAAUACUAUAAAAACAAAAUUAAUUUUUAAAAUAGCAACAGUGCAUUCCAUUUAGUAAAAUAAUUAAGAUGGAAUACUGCACCAGCUAGCAUUCAGGGAAUGGAACAUGAUGAAAUAUUUUAUUGUAGAAUUGACAAGAAGUUAUGGGAAACCAUAAGAAAAGAGUAUAUCCACCUAAAAAGAAUGGGUUGCAGUUUGCUGUGAAUCAGAUAUAGAUAAAUAGUGUACUUCCAGAAAAACAUCCUUAGUAAAACAUUUUAGACAGAAGACACUGGGAAUGAAAAUAUUUUGAAAAUUUCUGGAGGUAGAUAUUUUUAUGGGCAUUUAUGGGCAUGUUAUACAACAUGCAUUGAGAUACAACUUCUUUGCCCAUUGGAAAAUAGAGUUGUGUGCACGAAAAGAUUUCACUGUUGGUACAGCUCAUCACAGAUGUCAGAAAAAUGCACAGAAUAAUUUAGUAUUUCAAUACCAUUUUCAAUUUCUUUAAGGUUAUGUGUGUUUGUCCAUAAAGAGAGUCUCUCUCUAGAGCUCUGCCUCUAGCCUCUCUCUUUGACCCACUUACGUUAGGUAUUCUUAUGACUCAUCCUUAGGAAAAAUGACCAGCCAUGACAAAAAGCAAAGAUUUACAAAUGGGAAUUGAUUUGUCUAUGUAAGCAAGAGAAAUAAUAUAAUAGAAAUAAUAUAAGAGAAAUAGGAAGCAUUAAAUGGAAGCAGAAUGGAAUGGAAAGACAACAAUAAAAUAAAAUUUUUAAA